rnacentral:rRNA from 1 species
UACAGAGGGAGCUAGCGUUGUUCGGAAUUACUGGGCGUAAAGCGCACGUAGGCGGCUUUGUAAGUUAGAGGUGAAAGCCCGGGGCUCAACUCCGGAACUGCCUUUAAGACUGCAUCGCUUGAAUCCGGGAGAGGUGAGUGGAAUUCCGAGUGUAGAGGUGAAAUUCGUAGAUAUUCGGAAGAACACCAGUGGCGAAGGCGGCUCACUGGACCGGUAUUGACGCUGAGGUGCGAAAGCGUGGGGAGCAAACAGG